UUCAGGAAAGGAACGGGUUAAUUUGAAAUUCAGCUUGGCCCAGAGAUAAAGAGAAAGUCGCUUUGCGUUCAAGGGCAAGAACUGACACAGAUCAUGCCAAGCAUAGAAAACAACACAGUUUAGAGGCUGCAGAGAUGGGGAAAAAAAGACAAAACAGUGAAAGGAGGAGCCAAGCUUCAUGUCCCUGGAGCCAAUGUGGUUUGGGGACGCUGAAGAAGCCACAGUCAGCCAGCCUGGACUGGAAUACCAAGCAAAGGUCUCUGAAAGGAAUGCCCAAAAGACCUCAGACCCUCCCUGUCUCUCCUACUCCCGGGCCUGGCCAGCCCGGGCAGCAUGUUUUCUAACAACUACAGGACAGAAGCAUACUGGACAUAAUUGGACUACACAAAUUCAAAAUUCAGGAAAAAAGUAUAUAUGAUUUUGGACUAUUAGAUGUCAAUAUACAUGAAUAUGAGCAUCCCUCUCUUUUUCCCUAAAAACUAAGGGAAAACAUAGAUUCGGGUAUUGUAUAUAUGAAUCCUACAAACCUGCAAGGCCCUCCUCACUCUCUACCAUCUCUGACAGAAGCAUGGAGCCUGCAUAGCUCUGCACUAAUGUCAUAAGCAUUGCAAGUAUGCAAUGCACAAUCCUUCAAUAUUUUCAGAGCUAUAAGAACCACCAAAUCAGCAGAGAACAUGACGAUUUCUUGAAUUGCUGUAAGAACCAGUUCAAAGUUAUUGUUGGCAUUCCUGGAACAGCUGCAGAUGGUGGAGCACACCUUCUGGGCACAAGAAAUGAGCACUGACUGUUGGGAUCACAUCGUAAUGCAGGCUUAGGAUAACGAGCAGUUGUAGAACUUUUGGAUGAGAAAGUCCACAUUCCUGGAUCUGUGUGCUGAGCUCGUCCCAACACUCUGGUGCAGGGACACCAGAAUGAGAGCUGCAUGAACAGCUGAGAAUUGAGUGCCAGUCACACUGUGGAAACUUGCAAUGCUGGAUUGCUACCUGUCAGUGCGAAGACAUUUUGGAGUUGGAAAAUUCACCAUGGAAGCCAUUGUCAUGGAAGCAUGCAGGGCCAUUAGUCAUUUCUUCUACGCAGGACUGUGACUCUUGGAAAUCUGCAGGAUGUAGCAUAUGGAUUUUCAGCAGUGAAAUUCUCCAACUGCAGUGAAUCAAUAGAUGGCACACACAUCCCUAUUUUGGCAUCACAACACCUUGCCACAGAAUAAAUCAACAAAAGGGCUACUUUACUGUGGUUAUGCAAGUAACUGGGGAUGCUUCGCUGACAUCAAUGUUGGCUGGUCAGGGAAGAUGCACAAUGCUUGCAUCUUUAAGAACAGUGUUCAGAAAGCUACAAGCAGGGACUUUCUUUUCUGACCGGCGGAUUACUAUUUGGAAUGUUGAAAUGCCAGUAGUGAUCUUGGGGGACUCAGCCUAGCCCUUGCUCCCCUGUUUCAUUAAGCUUGGCAAUGACCAACUUCACAUCACCAAGAAAAGAUUCAACUAUUGGCUCAGCAGGAACAGAAGACAGUUGAAUGCAUUUUUGGUAGAUUGAAAGGAUGCUGAUGUUGUUUACUCACAAAAUUGGACCUCAGUGGAAAAAAAACCCAUCCCAACAGCCAUAGCUGCCUUCAGUGUCCUGCACAAUAUCUGUGAAGCAAGGGGAGGAGAGUUGCUGCUGGGGUGGAGGGCAGAGUUGGAGCAGCUGUAUUCUGACUUUGACCAGACAGAAAUAAGGGCUGUUAGAAGAGCUCUACAUGGAGGCUUUAUAAGAGCACUUUAACAUUGAGCCAGUAAUUUGUUAUGGUGUCCUAUGCUCUAACUGGCCCUGCAGUUUGUGGGACAGUUAGCAAUUGUGUCGUGCUUGGAGUACUUCCAUGAAUAUAACACUAUUAAUGCACCUAUUAAUUUUGUGGUGCUUGUUGUAUAUUUAUGAUUAUUACACUUUGUGUGUCACACUGUGCAUUAACAAGUUGUUUUCAAAACUGCAAGACACUCUGCAGUAUAUGUUGUGAACUAAUCAAGAUGAUUUUCCAAAUAGAAUUUUAUUCAAUAAUAAAAUCCGUGCAAACAAAAAUCUGUGCAAUUGAAAAGCAAAUGUAUUAAAGAAGUUCUAUUCCAUGAAUGUAUUAAACAAGGGGACAGAACAUUCAUGUCCAUAUUAACCUAUACAUACAGCAACCAUGGCUUUCACACAUCAGGGUGUGUGAUGCUAUGGUUGUCCAUGUCUCCCAGGAUGGAAUGCUAGGGGUAGGGAUGCAGCCCCUGAUACCACAUGGCAUGCUGAGGGGGUUUGUAGAGAAGUGUUGUAAUGGCAUUCUUCAUUGACUGCAAAGGGAGGUGAGCCUGUUAUUGUUGAACCUGUAAGUCCCCAGGAGCCUGCAGCAUCUGUGUUUGCUGCUGGAGAAGCCCCAUUAUGUUCUGGUGCAUCUCCCUCUCCUUUUCUUGCUAGACUCACAAGUCCUUUCUCCUGUCCACUUUUUCCUUCCCCAGGCUGUCUGCAAUGUUCACCCUCCAGGACCUUUCCUCACAGUCUGAUGCAGCACUAGCUUGCAUGAUCUUACUGAAUGUGUCAUCCUGAGUCCUCUUCUUUCUCCUCUGUAUAUGGCUCAAGCAUUUCAUGGGCGUGAAGGGGAAGCCCCCUCAAGGCAGCGGCAGCUGCAGAUAAAACACACAGAUGCCACUGUCAAUAUGGGCACAAGAGAAAGUUAAGAUUCAGCACUCCCCCCUUCAUUGCUCCCCAUAAGUUUUAAACAAGACAUAUUUAACACUCCUGCAUCGCAGUGCUUAUGCACAGUGCCACUCACAGCACGAGC